GGGUUAUUGGUCUAAUGGCAUGAUUCGUGCUUUGGGCGCACGAGGCUGGGGUUCGAUUCCCUAAUAACCCC